GAUGAACGCUGGCGGCGUGCUUAACACAUGCAAGUCGAACGAUGAAGCUCAGCUUGCUGGGUGGAUUAGUGGCGAACGGGUGAGUAACACGUGAGUAACCUGCCCUUAACUCUGGGUUAAGCCUGGGAAACUAGGUCUAAUACCGGAUAGGAGCGUCCACCGCAUGGUGGGUGUUGGAAAGAUUUAUCGGUUUUGGAUGGACUCGCGGCCUAUCAGCUUGUUGGUGAGGUAAUGGCUCACCAAGGCGACGACGGGUAGCCGGCCUGAGAGGGUGACCGGCCACACUGGGACUGAGACACGGCCCAGACUCCUACGGGAGGCAGCAGUGGGGAAUAUUGCACAAUGGGCGAAAGCCUGAUGCAGCGACGCCGCGUGAGGGAUGACGGCCUUCGGGUUGUAAACCUCUUUCAGUAGGGAAGAAGCGAAAGUGACGGUACCUGCAGAAGAAGCACCGGCUAACUACGUG
rnacentral:rRNA from 1 species